CUCGCCAUAGUUCAAUGGAUAGAACACGGACCUCCUAAGUCUGAGAUGCAGGUUCGAUUCCUGCUGGCGAGGCCA
rnacentral:tRNA from 1 species